rnacentral:rRNA from 1 species
GACGAACGCUGACGGCGUGCUUAACACAUGCAAGUCGAAGCGGGGACGGGUGAGUAACACGUGGAUAACCUCCUAUAAGACUGGGAUAACUUCGGGAAACCGGAGCUAAACCGGAAACUUAUAGAUGGAUCCGCGCUGCAUUAGCUAGUUGGUAAGGUAAAGGCUUACCAAGGCAACGAUGCAUCGCCGACAUGAGAGGGUGAUCGACCACACUGGAACUGAGAAACGGUGCAGCCUCCUACGGGAGUCAGAAGGAGAGAAGCUUCCGCAGUGGGCGAAAGCCUGACGGAGCAACGCCGCGUGAGUGAUGAGGGUCUUCGGAUCUGAAAACUCUGUUAUGAGGGAAGCGGUACCUAAUCAGAAAGCCACGGCUAACUACGUGCCAGCAGCCGCGGUAAGAC